GUGAGUGGGAGGAAAGUAGAACUUGAUGAGAUAACUGUAUCUACUCCCUUAUUGGAAAGUAGUUCAUCACGAGAACCGGUUCCUGUAACGACUACACCAAUUAGUGAGGAAGCUAAUGAUAAUGAUCAUGAAACUUCGGAUCAAGUUUCUGCUGAACCUCGUAGGUCUACUAGAGUAAGAUCCGCACCAGAGUGGUACGGUAAUCCUAUUCUGGAAGUCAUGUUACUUGACCAUGAUGAACCUACGAACUAUGAGGAAGCGAUGAUGAGCCCAGAUUCCGCAAAAUGGCUAGAGGCCAUGAAAUCUGAGAUGGGAUCCAUGUAUGAAAACAAAGUAUGGACUUGGGUUGACUUGACCGAUGAUCGGCAAGCCAUUGAGAAUAAAUGGAUUUUUAAGAAGAAGACUGACGCUGAUGGUAAUGUA
rnacentral:rRNA from 1 species